rnacentral:rRNA from 1 species
GACGAACCGUGCGAACGUUAUUCGGAAUCACUGGGCUUAAAGCGCGUGUAGGCGGAUGGGGACGUCGGUCGCUGAAAUCCCCCGGCUCAACCGGGGAACUGGCGGGGAUACGACCGUCCUGGAGGGACGUAGGGGGACCUGGAACUUCCGGUGGAGCGGUGAAAUGCGUUGAGAUCGGAAGGAACGCCCGUGGCGAAAGCGAGGUCCUGGACGUUUUCUGACGCUGAGACGCGAAAGCCAGGGGAGCGAACGGG